rnacentral:rRNA from 1 species
AUUGAACGCUGGCGGCAGGCUUAACACAUGCAAGUCGAACGAGCGGCGGACGGGUGAGUAAUGUUUGGGAAUCUCCCUUAUGGAGGGGGAUAACUACGGGAAACUGUAGCUAAUACCGCGUACCAUAAGAUGUGCCCAGGUGGGAUUAGGUAGUAGGUGUGGUAAAGGCUCACCUAGGCGACGAUCUCUAGCUGGUCUGAGAGGAUGACGAGCCACGUCGGAACUGAGACACGGCCCAGACGCCUACGGGAGGCAGCAGUGGGGAAUAUUGCACAAUGGGCGCAAGCCUGAUGCAGCAAUGCCGCGUGAAUGAAGAAGGCCUUCGGGUUGUAAAGUACUUUCAGUAGGGAGGCGUUAACUGCAGAAGAAGCACCGGCUAACUCCGUGCCAGCAGCCGCGGUAAUAC